GAUGAACGCUGGCGGCGUGCUUAACACAUGCAAGUCGAGCGAGUGAGUUCUUCGGAACGAUCUAGCGGCGGACGGGUGAGUAACACGUGGGCAACCUGCCUCAUAGAGGGGAAUAGCCUCCCGAAAGGGAGAUUAAUACCGCAUAACAUCGUUGAAGGGCAUCCUUCGAUGAUCAAAGGAGCAAUCCGCUAUGAGAUGGGCCCGCGGCGCAUUAGCUAGUUGGUGAGGUAACGGCUCACCAAGGCGACGAUGCGUAGCCGACCUGAGAGGGUGAUCGGCCACAUUGGGACUGAGACACGGCCCAGACUCCUACGGGAGGCAGCAGUGGGGAAUAUUGCACAAUGGGGGAAACCCUGAUGCAGCAACGCCGCGUGAGUGAUGACGGUCUUCGGAUUGUAAAGCUCUGUCUUUGGGGACGAUAAUGACGGUACCCAAGGAGGAAGUCACGGCUAACUACGUGCCAGCCGCCGCGGUAA
rnacentral:rRNA from 1 species